rnacentral:rRNA from 1 species
AGUGAACGCUGGCGGCAGGCUUAACACAUGCAAGUCGAACGGCAGCACAGUAAGUGCUUGCUCUUCUGGAUUGCGAGAGGCGGGCGGGAGAGGUAGGCAUCGUACUCUACACUUUCGUGGGGGAUAACGUAGGUAAACCUACUCCAAUAUCGCAUACGACCUACGGGUGUAUGCAGGAGAGCUUCGCACCUUGCGCGAUUGAAUGAGCCUAUGUCGGAUUAGCUAGUUGGCGGGGUUAAGGACCAGUAAGGCGACGAUCCGUAGCUGGUCUGAGAGGAUGAGCAGCCACACUAGAGCUGAGACCCAGUCCAGACUCCUACGGGAGGCAGCAGUGGGGAAUGUUGGACAAUGGGCGCAAACCGGAUCCAGCGAUACCGCGUGGGUGAAGAAGGCCUUCGGGUUGUAAAGCCCUUUUGUUGGGUAAGAACAGCAGCAGGUUGAUACCCCGCUGUUGUGACGGUACCCGGAGAAGAAGCACCGGCUAACUUCGUG